GAGGUAAAUUAGAGAUUAGUGUCACUAAUAAUAUACUAGAUUGCCUACUUACAAUCAGAUGAGGAUGGAGAUGGGCUCUGGCUGCAGUCUGGCUCCACUGGUCUGGUGUAGAACAGGAUCUCUGGAGGCUGUUUGUAACUGUGGUCACAAAAUUCAAUGUUCUGGGAGAACGGGAAGCAGCUCCAUUUUUUUGGGGCCUCUUACAUAGCUCAAGGUCUGGGCCCCAGGGCCUGACGGUGAGUAUGCCCAUAAAGCCCACCCAUAAGUCCCCCUACAUGUUCCACCCAUGAACUCACAGGGAGUAGAGUGUGUAGG